UAGGUUGGUGCAAAAGUAAUUGCAGUUUUGCUAUUACUUUUAAUGGCAAAAACAGCAAUUACUUUUUCACCAACAUAAUAU
ensembl:miRNA